rnacentral:rRNA from 1 species
UACGAAGGGGGCUAGCGUUGCUCGGAAUCACUGGGCGUAAAGGGUGCGUAGGCGGGUCUUUAAGUCAGGGGUGAAAUCCUGGAGCUCAACUCCAGAACUGCCUUUGAUACUGAGGAUCUUGAGUCCGGGAGAGGUGAGUGGAACUGCGAGUGUAGAGGUGAAAUUCGUAGAUAUUCGCAAGAACACCAGUGGCGAAGGCGGCUCACUGGCCCGAUACUGACGCUGAGGUGCGAAAAGCGUGGGGGAGCAAACAGGGAUUAGAUACCCUUGAGUACCAC